ACCAUACAGAGCCACCUCCGACCUAGAGGUGAUCUCCAGCAUUCUAUUAUCCUUGGAAUUGUCAAGGGGACUCCAGGUGCUUUUAUAUCAUUUGUGAAUGCUGAGCUUGAACAACCUGGAUGUAAUCACUGAGAGCUUCUUCUCUGAGAGAUUAAAUAUGCAAUAUUUUAUAACCCAGUUUAAACAUGUCCCAUGCAAAAUUCAGGAUUGGAUUUCAAUAUGUAAUUUUCUUUUAAUUUUUAAAGAAGUUCUCAUAAUGACUUUUAUUUUAUUAUCUGUAUCUAUGGAAUGAUGAACAAAUCAAAAUACUAAAAUCUACAAAUAAUUUCGUAUUUAAUCAUUAAUCUAGUCUUGUGAAAUGAAAUUUUAACAAAUCAUAAAUUUAUAUAUAAUCAUAAACUAUAUCCGUCAUUAUUUCAUUAGAUUGCUGUUGUCAAAUAACUGAAAUCCAUUAUCCUUACAUAAACUUUUAGUUUCCAAGGCAAUUUAGUCUCUAAGCUCUGAAGAGCUGCCAGUUAAAUAAGUACGGUUUUCUUUUAAGCACAAGGUAGAGAAUACUAAAAUUCAACACGAAAGACAAAAAGAGAAUUAUAGAACAGUAACAACAUGAAAUUAAAUCAAAGAUUUUUUACACAUAAACACAAAUUCUGGUCAGAAAAAACUUUUUAAAAAGUAAUGUUUGGAAGAACUCUUAAAUAUUAUGAGUAAACUCCACUGAUUAGGCGACUCACAUCUAUUGCCUUUUAUCAUUCAUGAACGGACUUCAUUAAAUGAAUCUCCAGACAUUUUAUUUCACUUUUUGCAAGUCUACUCACAAGCAGGUUUAGAAAUAAUGCAAAGAGAAGCCUACAUGAAAAUAAAAUUAAAAUAGCAAAAGAUUUUGGAGGAAGGAAAAUGAACAACUCUCAUUUGUUCUUAAGGAAUCCUAUCCCAUUGAUCUAGCUUUUUGAGCUUGGCAAAAAGAUUGAAAAUAGAUGGAUUAUAGAACUACAAAUGGAGGUUUCGUUUUGAGCUGCAUUCAUUUUCAAUUUGUGGAAUAGGUUGUGAAUAAAACAAAAAAACCAAACAACUGUCUUCCCCAAAAAACUCCAAACAAAACAACACAGGAAAAAGGGGAGUAUCUUUCCAGCAGAUGAAAAGGUUCCUCUUUCCCUUUCCUCUUUUCAAUGCAUGGGAACUAUCAUCUGCUUACUGUUACUCUUUUCCUGCAUUUUUUUAAAUUUUAAAUUUUUAAAAAUUUCUAUUCCCUCCUCAACCUUCAUUUCUGUCCCUCUUUCCUCCUCUCUAACCUCUUUUAUUUCUUUGAAUCUUAUUAUGUAGUAUGACAAAAACUGUGAAACAAUUUUUGUGUGUGUCUACCUAAACUCGGCUAUGGAAGUGUCUCAGAAAGCUGCAUCUUACUGGGGUUCUUCCCUCAAAGGGUAGAGAUGGACUAUCCCAUGGUUCAAUAGAUCUUAAGAAGGCGAAAGUGUGCUUAAAAUAAAUUAGAGAUGUAGCUAAUCUGGAAGCUUUGGUCAUGAAAAUUUGGCUCUUCAUUACCAAAGCUCCUUGAUGUCACCGUUUCUCAGCAAUGACUUUGCCAACCAUCUGGAUGGUUGUUAUUGCUUUUUAAUAUUUCCUUUUCCUCCAAAUUCUGUGUGGCAAUAUCUUAGGACACCAUGAAAACCAAUUAUCACAAUGGAUAAACAUUGUACAGUCAAUCUAGGAGCUAUAGAAAAGAGUGCCAAAUACUUCUGGGUACUGUCUCAUUUCCUUUAGACCAAACUUGAGCAACAGAAGACUCUAGUUUGGUCAUAGUGCACCAACAGUACAUGAGGUUCUGGCAUGUGAAUGACAACUCAUGAAAAAAUUAGAUUUCUUUUUCAGCUGCUAAACUGCACAGAUGGGGUGCGAGAGAAAGAAGAAUAUUUACUGCUUUUGUUUAAAAAGCCCUCUUCCAUUGGACUAGGGAAGGAGGACAGGACUGUGUUGUUAAUGACAUUAUCACAUAACGUUAUUUUUACCAGAUAAACCCUCCUUGCCAUCCUGUACUACUUUUAUGGACAUUCUUCCAACUCUUCUAUUAAUAAUAUCCAUGAACUGUUUAUUGCCUCUUGACACAACUUAGGGUUUUGCUUUCACAACAGAUUUUAAAAAAUACUUUGUGCAAUAAUCUAAAGUGAGGAAAUAUCAUGUGGUUCUGCACCAUACAAUAUUCCUGUAUUCUCUCAUCCCUUCGUGCAGUCCAGUGCUGUCUUUGACCACAGCUGGCUGUUAAAUUGUUGCCCCAGCUGCUUGAAGUUGAAGGGGUUGAUGGUUUAGGUUUUUUUGAAAGGGGAAAAAGGCAUGUGUUACUUUGGCUCAGACUGCUGGCCUAGAGCUGUGCCUCUCACUUUUUCUGUUUAUCCCAUCCACAAUUCAGACAGCUUCAACUCAAAAAAGAUCCAGCAUAAAAGAACUGAAGUCAGGAGGUGUCCUUGUUGUGCAGACACUGAUGUGAGCACUGCUAAGCAAAUAUCUGUGGUCCUGAUGCUGCACAUUACCUGCUCCCCUUAAAGGAAGUCAUUGCAAGCAAGAUUCCAGCAGGCUGAGUCUUGACAUGCUGUAUCCAUCCCCUCUUGUGUCACAGGCCUCAGACUAAGAGUUAUUCAUGUGGCAAACAUCUGGAUUUACAUAGGAGCCAGCAGAGCUAAUCUGUUCUGGCACAGAGGAAGGACAUGUGAAGAGUAGAGCCAACAACUCUAAAUCAGAACCUGGUAAGGGGCAGGCCAGCACCAUGACCCUGUCCAUCCAGCUGGAAAAGUAGAAUUUAGGAGCAGGUUUAGAGAUUACAAAGAAUUACAAAGAUUUUAGGAGAAGGAUUAUUUUGUCUGCCCAAUGUCACAUGGACAGUAUCUAGCACCUUCACAGAAGCUUAUUUCCUAAAGCCAUAAUGAUGUGUGUUGUGUUCCUAAGACUCAUUUAUCAGGAAGGAAAUGAAAUGAAUCAAUAUAAACUCCAAAACAAAAGAGCAACAUCUGACAGGGCUGACAGGAAAGCAAACAAGAAGCUUAGAACACUGCUAAUGCCCAUUAUUAACACUUACACUAGGGCUAGCUCUAGCAGGAAUUGUCUGCCACCAUCCAGAAGCAGAAAUAAAAAAUUAUACUUAAGCCUGUGGGAAACCAUAGUUAUAACUUUUGAUCUAGGACUAAAAGGGUGUAAAAUUGUAAGAGAUAACCUAAGAGAACUCAGAUUCUGCCAGGAAUGCACAUGGAAUUGAUAAGAAAUAGCUUUUCCACAAGGUGUUCAGUAAGGAAGAGGGACAUGGCAGCACCCCUUUCCCCAUGAUACCAAGCUUAGGAGAUGAAAGAUAUCUGCAAACAUGCCUCAAAACCUUGCUUCUUUCAGGAUACAAAACUGCUUCCUGAGUAUUUUAUUGGCUUUUAGAUUCACUGGAGGAACCAGAGAUUGGCAAAGGAUGUUGUACAAAAGUACCAUCAAGCCAUUUGAAAGCUAAAAUCUUAUGAAGGCAACUGAGCAAGCUGAAGGCAUGGAAUCAAGUCCAUUUGAUUUUGUGGGUCCAAUAUUUAUAUGUACCUGUGAGAUGGAAUCACGAUGCUACCUCAGUGGAGGACACAUUUAAGUGCAGUGAUCAUCAAUCAGCCUUCUCACUCUCUUCCAAACAACACUUCCUCUGAUAUUUUCAGCAUCAGAAACAGUGAUUUUUCAAUUUUUUUUUUUUUUCCUGGGAAAAAUAUUUCAGUCACUCAGCAAAUAGUGGUUUCUCCAUGGAUUACACAGAUCUGAGUAUGGCAUCUUUGGCUCAGAAGAGAUCAGGCUCCUUCUUUUAGAUGUGAAAGGCAAAACAGCUAGAAAACAAACAUUAGAGAUAUGAUGAAAACAGGAGUGAGAAUGCAAACGUGUCUUUCCCCAUACUAGAUGUUGAUUAGAUGGAGAGUGCCUGCUGAGAUUGAACAAAUAACAGCCCUUCCUGCCUUUUAUUUUUUGAAGCUAGAAAAAGUUGAUUGCUAAAAAAUAACAUGUCAUGAAAUAUUUUCCAGUUUCAGUAGUACCUUCAUUUUACUUCAGCCCUGAAAAUAUUCAUAUAAAAUGCUGAAAGGUCUAAUGAGACAGUGGUACUUCAACGUUUCUCCCGCUGAUGUCACAGAGUGGUUUAUUGAUUCUAUUUAACUUCUAAUUGGCUCACAUUAUUAAAUUACCAUCAUUCAGGCUAGAUAUUAGUUUAAAUGAUCAAUCAACACAAAAUAAGGUCAAGAUUAUUAGUGACAAACUGGAUAAGCAGAUAAAUAGAUCAAUAGAAAGAAAUAAAGAUAGAUCAAUUAGAAGUUUAGACUAAAUGGAAAAAGUAGGUCGACCUUUUUUUCUCGUUUUUAAUUACAUACCCACUGGCUUUUUCUGUGGGGACUUGAAAUAUUGAAGUCUUAUUCUUCAUUGCAUAAUUAGAAUUCUAAGAUCUGACUGAUCAUGUCAAAUUUUGAAGCAGAACAAAUAGUGAAAACUAGGCACACUGAGAUGUUGAACCAUCAAAUUACAUUAGCUAAGUCAUGGCUUAAUAGAAUCCUCCACUAAUUCCACCAAGUUAAGAUAUGGAGAACAGUGAAAUACUUAAAAAAAGCGCUCCACAUUAAUUAAACAAACUUACUAUAAAUCUGUCUAGACUGGUGCAUAACCUUAAGUUUGAAAGGUUAGAUUAGGACAAUUAUAAACUGAAUGCAUUUUCUCCCUAAUAUAUCCCAAUCAUUACUUAUUGAAAGUAAUUUGUGCUCCUAAUUUAACUAAUAUCCUCCAAACAAGGAUUUCUUUAAUUGACUUUGUUUUGUCACACCACCAAUUCAGGAGCAUGGUAUGAUAUCUAGUGAGCUUUUCCUUUUUACAAAGUGUGUCUGAUCUUUUCUCAGCCACAUCCAGAAAAACAUAUUUUGCCCUCAUUAGCCAAUAGUAGGCUGAAUCCUUCUUAAUGAUCACUAGGGAAUGCUCAGAUUUCUGUACAAACUAGGACAAGCUGUUUCACGUUUUUUUUUUUUUUGCCAUGGCUUUCCCAUUUGAAAAUGACACUUGAUUUUUGCCCUCUUUUCUUUAAAGGGAUUGACAUGUGUAAAAUGAUCUUUAAUGGUAAAAGGAACAAUAAUCAAAAUAUCGCCUCAGGACUGGACAUUAAGAACCUGCUAAUAAUGAUAAAAGGUUUUCCCAAAGGUCCCUCCAGGGAAGAGCUGGGUACAGAGACACUUUUCUGUCUCUUUGUGUGCCUCCAAGGGCUCCCACAGCUGCAGCCUAAAGCCUGGCAAAAUCCUUCUAGAUUCAAACUUCUCCUUCCUUACCAAUCCUGAUUCCUGCCCACUGUGCCAGAAUUUGUAACACUGGAAGAAGAUGAUCAGCAGAAAAUGUUGUGUUCACUGGUGAUCUCAGCCUGCAGGUGCCAGGUGGAUAAAGAAGUCCAGUCCUUGGCUGUGAAAAGCCACACAGGUGGGCACAGGCUGGGAACAGCCCUGCUGAGAAGGACUUGCAAUAGGACAAGGGGUAAUAGUUUUAAAUAAAAAAGGGGUGGUUUAGAUUAUUGAACAAAGAAGAAACUGCAGUCACUCAUGAAAAGUUGCACAACUGUUUCAUGUUUCCAGAAAGUUCAAAAAAGUGAAUGAAAAAAAAACAACAAAUGGGAAAAAAGUAAGAAUUUCAAAUAAUUCUUCCUGACAGCUAGUAAAGACACAUGCUUCCUAAUGUUUUUGCAGUAUAUUUUCAAGUCCCAUUUGCUCACCUUUCUGACCAAAGUAGCUAAUUUUUUCCCUUGUUGUUUCUUCCUUGGUCUUGUUCAAAAACAAGCAAACAAUAAACAAUCUGCAAGGCACUCUGGAGAAUAUUUCAACCCUGCUGUGCUAAAAAAAAAGAUGAAAUAUUGCAUACAAUGACUUCAAAACUUUGCUCGAAUUGUCAUAAAUCACACUUGUCACAUUCAUUUACAUUAGCUGCUGGAUACCGGACUGACUUGACAAUAUACCUAGGCAAAUUACAAACCAAAUAAGAAGAUAAGAAAAUAAGUUUUCUUCGUUGAACUGCUAUUACAUACUACAGAGGUUACCUAAAAAAGUGACAAAGAAGUGAUGGUACAUAUUUUUCUUACUUUUGAGAAAAAACCUGUCAGGAGAAGAAAAUAAAAGAAAAUAUUUUAAAAAGAGAUUUGCAUCACAAGUGAAAAUAUUAGGCUGAGAAAAUCGGAACAGAACAGAUGACCUCAUCUUGUUUUAAAGAGUUACAUUUUCAGGAGCAGACAUAGCUGUUCAAAUAGGUUGCUCACAGACAUUUAGUCAGUGAUUUGAGAUUUGGCAGAAAAAUAAAUGCAAAUUAACCACACUCAGAGAUAUUCAGUGGUUUGUCUCAGGGUGUCCAUCAGUAAUGAACUCCCCUCCAUGCAUCUCUCUUGUGUUUUACUAUGCCUGCCCAAUCCUAGUCAAUGCUAUUAUUAUCAAAAACAACACACUAGAAUUGUAAGUUCACAGCAUAGAGUUAUAUUAAAAAUAAAAAAAAAAAGAAAAAAGAAGAUUUAAACAGACAUAUGAGAAAUAUGUUCUGGGAAACCACUGACAGCUUGGUCUAUUGAUGUUUAGAAAGAGAAAAAAAUGAGAAUUGGAAAAAAAAAAGGAACUCAAUUUAUCACAUAAGGAAAAUGUCUUGCUGCAAUAAAGUUAUAUCUAUCAUCUUUUAGGUGGCUUCUUGCAUGUAAAUACAGGAGUUGUGCACAUGAUGAUCUUCAUCAUUGUACUGAGGAUACUGACAGAUUACAGAACUGACAAGGUCUUUCUAGGACUUAGACAUGUUUAAAAUAUUUCUCCUGUAGCUGCAAAUAAAUCAGAAGAAAAUUUUCAGUGGAAGGCAGGUGUGUCCUUCCUGAUCCCCUUUUGUUGAUGUUUUAUUGAUGCUGCUCCCUGCAUCCCAGUGAUUUGUACUCCACACACCAGCUUGAUGGAAACACGAGACAAUUCCAGAUAUUGGCUGAAACAAAUGCUUGUUCUGUGGAUAUUUUCAGUGGCAGGCAGUGAUCUGCCAUGUAGCUUCAAGGAAGGGUAUAUCAUCUUCAAGAAAAAAGAA